AAGACUGGCGCCACGGCCCCCCUUCCUUUACACUCUUAUCACCCCCUUCCAUGCAACUCCCCUCUGGACCGCCACCGAAACAACCUGAAAUUCAAAAUCGCACUAUAAACAGCGACAGGCGGGCCAGGUCUCCUCCCUGGGCGGCAUGGUCCAGGAUAAUGGCCCCUUUUCCACCCUGCCUUUGGUGGCCGCUGUCCAAAGUCCCACAGCCUCAAACUUAGGGGCACAGCCAGCCUGGGGUGCUCCUGGACAGGACCCCUCCCAUUCACAUGCCUGUGUCCUGGCUUCAAAGCUCCACUAUCAGUGCCCUGGAAAUCAAAAUCCAGAAGGCUGCAACUUUCAGAUUUAUCAUUGAAAAAAUUGCGCCCAUGUUCACAGAGUUGGGAAUAGAAGAACACAAGGAGGUGGGGAGCUGUGGUCUGGUCAUUUGUUUUCACAGCUGGCCGAGUCAAUCAUUCUCUCUUAAAAGCUUUUUUGACAGGACCCCGCUCUCUUCGCUGUCCCGGCUGUCCGACUGCGGACGGACGGGACUGGGCGCCCUUCCUACAACCCGCUGCCCGGGACCAGGAGCUUCACGGCCCCCACAGUCCUCGCCACAUCAUCCAAGUGUCCGAGGACGACGCACUUUUACCCGUGAGGUGGCCUGUGCUAAACUCACGAAUGCCAAGCCCUGCGUUUCUCCGUGGGUCUUACUUUCGGAGGGAAGAUGAAAACAGAGGGUCCUUGGAAACCCACUUACAUCCCAGCCUCUUUCCCAGGGUCGGUAAUGGAGACCUGAAUGUCCUCAAAGGCAUUGUCACUCACUGCUCUAGAAGAGACCUGAGUUUCUUUUGUCUCUGGAUUUGAUGGUGUGAGAAGGUCUGCAUGUGUGUCGGCAGUUUCCGUUUACUUACUUAAAAAGUGGUUCACUUCAUCUAUCCAUCCAUCCCUCCAUCCCUCCUUCCAUCCAUCACAUGUUCCUGUGGAGUCCGACUCUUUGUGACCCCAAGGAUUUAGCCUGCCAGGCUCCUCUGUCCACUGGUUCUCCAGGCAGGAAUACUGGAGUGAGUAGCCAUUUCCUCAUCCAGGGGAUCUUCCUGAUCCAGGGAUUAAACCCACCCACAUCUCCUGCAUUGCAGGUGGAUUCUUUACCACUUGAGCCAUUGUGGAAGCAAUUUCCCUAAUAUACCAGAUUCAGCUAAGCUAGGAGAAGCAUGGGCUUUCCCAGUGGCUCAACAGUAAAGAAUCUGCCUGUCAAUGCAGGAGAUUCACUUUCUAUCCCCAGGUCAGGAAGAUCCCCUGCAGAAGGAAAUGGCAAUUCACUCCACCAUUCUUGCCUGGGAAAUCCCAUGGACAGAAGAGCCUGGUGGGCUACAGUNNNNNNNNNNNNNNNNNNNNNNNNNNNNNNNNNNNNNNNNNNNNNNNNNNNNNNNNNNNNNNNNNNNNNNNNNNNNNNNNNNNNNNNNNNNNNNNNNNNAAUCCCAUGGACAGAAGAGCCUGGUGGGCUACAGUCCAUGGGGUCUCAAACAUAAUUUAGUGACGGAACAACAAGGAGAAGACUGGAAUUAUUCUUAAUGCUAUGCCUUUUGGUUCUCUGUUGUUUUUUAAUGUCAGAAAAUGUAUUUCAUUUUCUUUUAAAGUCUGAAUAAAGUCAAUAUUCCCACAAUUUCCUAUUACCAGACAAAAAAGUCUGCUGGUCAGUUUACAAGGCCUUACAAAAAGCUAGUUUUGCUUGACUUUGAGCCAAAACCUGAAUGACAGAAAAGGCCCUUAAGAAGAUCAGGGGGAAUUACGAACUAGGCAUAGGAAACAGCUGGUGUAAAGGAACUAACAAGAACUUACUUAGCAGUUUCAAGGCACAGGAAAAGAGGGGCAAGUAGCUGAGAUGAGGUCAGAGACGUGGUUGAAGCCAGAUCACAAAAUGUCUUGAAAUCCCACUGUAAAGAGUUUUCAUUCUAUUCUCAGUGCACUGUCCAACCACUGGAAGAUUUCAAAGCAGGGAAUGAUAAGAUUUAAUUAGCAUUAAAAAAAAAUCACUCUCUGGCUCUGUGUAUAAGAGAAAAGAGUCAAAGCAAAGACACCAGGUUGGAUAUUAGCAGUUGUCCAGUCUAAAGACAAAUAUGGCUUGGAUGACUCUGGUUGUUAAGUUCAGAUACUAAAAAAUAUAAAGUUGCAGGAUCUAAUUUGGAGUCAGAACUGAAGGUCUUGAUGAAUCAGAGGUUUACGGGAAGUAAGAGAACAGUAGAGUUGUGAAAGACUCCUAGAUUUCUGAGCAGUUAGCCUAAUGGUGGUGCUGAUAAUUGAUACAGAGAAGACAGGGAGGAAGCAAGUUUGGGGAGAAAUAAGAUUUCUGCUUUGUGUUGAAUGUGAGAUGCCACUAGGUAUUCAACUUAGGAAUAACAGCUACAGUUGAGUAUUUGAGUCUAGAGUUCAGGAAAGAGAGGAUGGUCAGAAAUACACUUGAAAAUCCUAAGUGUGAAGAUGUUUCAAAGUGAGAUUAGAAGAAAUCACUAGAAAGAGAGGGGUUGAGGCAGUCAUCAGUUAUAUGAGACAGGAACUUAGAUCUCCUACAUAGGAAGAAAGCUGUGGAACAAUAACUUGUUUCCUAUACUCUGAUUUCUCAAUAGUUUGAAGGAUGUUGGAAGUAAUUGAGAAGAAAAACCGGAGCAGGAGAGAGAAUUCUAAGGAACUGUAAUUCUGGAGAAUUAGAAUCACUUUCAAGAAGCUGGUAAAUUACUGAAUGCAAGAGAGUGAAUAAAGAGAAACAAGAAGAAAAAGAGUCUCAGAACCAUUGGAGGUCCCACAUAACAGGCAGAAAAUUCCCAUGGAGUUGGUCAUUGCAAUUUCUAUAGUAGGCACCUGAGAUCUGACAGUUUGCCAGCAGCUCCCCAUUUUUGCUGAUUGACAAGAGGAUGAACAAUAGCUAAUAUCUGAAAGAAACCUGAUGUGCAUCUCUGGUGACUGUGAAAUUACAUACAGGCAUCUCUGGUGAUUGUGAAAUUAUAUACAGAAAACUUAAAGAGUCUGAAAAAAUUCAGUGGCUUUAAUCUCUUCUGGGUAUUUGAACUUUGGGAAAGUAAAAAAGUAUGUAGAGCGUGAAUAGCUAUUUAUACAAAAUAUAUUCACGAAUUUUAGGUUUUAUUUUUUGAAUCAUGGCUAACAUUCCUGGAAUAACAGACUUCUGGCAAUGACAGGGAAUACCAUUUUACAAAGUAGGUUCACUACCCAUCUUAAAAAGCAGGUUCAAGACUCGUAAACUGACUUAAGUGUGCAGAAGUAUGUGGAGGUACUUACAAGGAAUUCCAAAAAUGAAUGUUUUUCCUUUACAGUGGUCUUCAAAAGAGGGCUGGAUGUUGAAAUAAUUUGAGAAAUAAAUACAUUUUAUUUUUCUUUCUAGCUUAUAAAUUAACAGUGUUUAAAUCCUCAAUAUAAAUUAGCCUUUGAAGGCACUGGGAAGUCCUACAAAAGCUUUUUUUUUUUUUUUUUUNNNNNNNNNNNNNNNNNNNNNNNNNNNNNNNNNNNNNNNNNNNNNNNNNNNNNNNNNNNNNNNNNNNNNAUCCUGCUUUCCCACACAGUUCUUCUGCAGUCAAUAAGGCAUGACUGUUCUUCCAUUGCAUAAAGCAUGGUCAGAAGCACUGUGGAAAGAAGCGGUGAGAGGCACACUAUCUUUCCUUAAAAGUAACUAUGAUUCUCUCAAGUUUUAUUUCAUUUAAUGCACUACUUUCUCAACAAUUUUUAUCUCAGAACCCUGAUCAUGUAUUGUUGUUGAUGAUGAUGUUUUUAUCACACUAUAUAUCUUAACAUUUCACAUAGUGAGGGUCCCAUAGAACACACUUUGGGAAAUGGAGUACUAUUCAACAAAUGUAAAAGAAUUUCAGUUAAAUUUUGAAGGUAAAGAAAAUUGCUCAGGAUUAAAAGCAGAUACUUUAAAGAACACCACAAAUGGCCAAAACAGAUGCAUACUGAGUGUCCAGGAGUUCACAAUCUGUAAUCAGAAAGAGAAUUCAGAAUAACCUGAUUAGAACAGUUGUCCGUUUGGAAGCACAAUAUACCUUGUCCAGAUGAAACAGACGGUGGAGAAAGAAAAAUGAGUAAGAAACAUAAUGUAAUUCUAUGGCUGAAAGGAUCCUAUCUAUUCCCAAGUACAAUCAUUUUACAGCCUAAAAAACUGAAGAGCAGAGAAAUUAUAUACUAAUGUGGAAAAUGGACAUUUGAAAGAGAAAGUAUGGUCCCAGAAUGGCCUCCUUUUUACACAGCUGAUCAUUGGAAGCUAUGAGCCUGAAGAUAACAGAUGAUGAAUGGAUGAUAGAUGAUUAAUGUAUACAACAACUAUUUUAUAUUGUUUGUCUCCUUACAAGAGUUCAUAAAUGAUAGUGUGCAAAUCAGGUUAAAUAAAGUUAAUGAUACAAAGCUGGCACAACAGAAAAAUAAUGUCCUAAUGAAGAUAUCAACCAUAAAAUUAUCUGCCAAAGUAUUGUUCUGCUAAAGCCUGAGCUUGUGACAAAAUGUUACCUUGUCGUAUUGAUAAUUUUGUGGCAAAUGAAAACAGAAAAGAAGUGAAGUUCAUUAUUACCAAGAAGUAAAACUAAUUUAUUAUUUAAGAAAGCAAAUUUCAAAACUUCAAAGAAAAAACAAAUAUGAUCCUAGAGUCAAUGACUGCAGAAGGACAAGAAGCCUUCAAAGACAAGCACUUAACUAUAAAAUCACAAAUGAUCCAGGUGAGGAAUAAAUUCAGACAGCAGUAUAACUACACUUUAAGUUUUGAAUGAGUACAUAUCUGCAAAGAGAAUGAAUGACUAGACAUAAGCUGUAUGAGAAAGAGUAAAUUAAAAUAAAGGUUAUUCGUGAACCAUGAACUUCUAGAUGUUCAAGCUGGUUUUAGAAAAGGCAGAG
ensembl:lncRNA